rnacentral:rRNA from 1 species
UACGAGGGCCCCAAGCGUCAUCCGGAUUUAUUGGGCGUAAAGAGUUUGUAGGCGGUUUGUUGCAUCUUUUGUUAAAUCUGCGGGCUCAACCCGUAGGCCGCGGAAGAAAUGGGCAAACUAGAGUUCGGGAGAGGCACAUGGAAUUGCUGGUGUAGGGGUUAAAUCCGUUAAUAUCAGCAGGAACACCAAAUGCGAAGGCAGUGUGCUAGAACGAUACUGACGCUGAGAAACGAGAGCGUGGGGAGCGAAUGGG